GAUGAAGAACGCAGCGAAAUGCGAUAAGUAAUGUGAAUUGCAGAAUUCAGUGAAUCAUCGAAUCUUUGAACGCACAUUGCGCCCGCUGGUAUUCCGGCGGGCAUGCCUGUUCGAGCGUCAUUUCAACCCUCAAGCCCCCGGGUUUGGUGUUGGGGAUCGGCGCUGCCCUUCUGGGCGGUGCCGCCCCCGAAAUACAUUGGCGGUCUCGCUGCAGCCUCCAUUGCGUAGUAGCUAACACCUCGCAACUGGAACGCGGCGCGGCCAUGCCGUAAAACCCCAACUUCUGAAUGUUGACCUCGGAUCAGGUAGGAAUACCCGCUGAACUUAAGCAUAUCAAUAAGCGGAGGA
rnacentral:misc_RNA from 1 species